rnacentral:rRNA from 1 species
UACGUAGGGUGCAAGCGUUAAUCGGAAUUACUGGGCGUAAAGCGUGCGCAGGCGGUUUUGUAAGACUGUCGUGAAAAUCCCCGGGCCUCAACCUGGGAAUGGCGAUGGUGACUGGCAAGGCUAGAGUUGGGCAGAGGGGGGUAGAAUUCCACGUGUAGCAGUGAAAUGCGUAGAUAUGUGGAGGAACACCGAUGGCGAAGGCAGCCCCCUGGGCAAAACUGACGCUCAUGCACGAAAGCGUGGGGAGCAAACAGG